rnacentral:rRNA from 1 species
AGAGUUGUAUCCUGGCUCAGAUUGAACGCUGGCGGCAUGCCUUACACAUGCAAGUCGAACGGUAACAGGUCUUCGGAUGCUGACGAGUGGCGAACGGGUGAGUAAUACAUCGGAACGUGCCCGAUCGUGGGGGAUAACGAAGCGAAAGCUUUGCUAAUACCGCAUAAGAUCUAAGGAUGAAAGCAGGGGACCGCAAGGCCUUGCGCGAACGGAGCGGCCGAUGGCAGAUUAGGUAGUUGGUGGGAUAAAAGCUUACCAAGCCGACGAUCUGUAGCUGGUCUGAGAGGACGACCAGCCACACUGGGACUGAGACACGGCCCAGACUCCUACGGGAGGCAGCAGUGGGGAAUUUUGGACAAUGGGCGAAAGCCUGAUCCAGCCAUGCCGCGUGCAGGAUGAAGGCCCUCGGGUUGUAAACUGCUUUUGUACGGAACGAAAAGACUCUGGUUAAUACCUGGGGUCCAUGACGGUACCGUAAGAAUAAGCACCGGCUAACUACGUGCCAGCAGCCGCGGUAAUACGUAGGGUGCAAGCGUUAAUCGGAAUUACUGGGCGUAAAGCGUGCGCAGGCGGUUAUAUAAGACAGAUGUGAAAUC